UACGAGAGGCCCGAGCGUUAAUCGGAAUCACUGGGCUUAAAGGGUGCGUAGGCGGAUCUGAAGGUGUGCUGUGAAAUCCCCCGGCUCAACCGGGGAAUGGCGGUGCAAACCACAGAUCUUGAGGAAGGUAGAGGUCGUCGGAACGUUCGGUGGAGCGGUGAAAUGCGUAGAGAUCGAACGGAACGCCAAAGGUGAAGACAGGCGACUGGGCCUUUCCUGACGCUGAGGCACGAAAGCGUGGGGAGCAAACAGG
rnacentral:rRNA from 1 species